CGUGACGAUCCUGGAGACUCUAAUAUGGCGGCGUCCGUGUCGCCGCCGCCUUCGCUGAUUGAGGGGAUGAUGAAAUUGAGCCACAAAAGGUAUAGAGCACUUUUGAAGAAAGAGAAGCGGAAGAAAAGGAGACAAACUCUGGCAAGACUGAGAGAUUCAGAAAAUGUAAAUAAAGAUGAACCAAUUUGUGAAAAAGAACUGAGUGACGAAGAGCAAGAAGUUGAAGAUGAAAGGCAAAGGCUUCAUGAAGAAUGGUUACUAAGAGAAGAAAAGGCUCAAGAAGCUUUCAAAAUCAGGAAGGAAAGAGAAGAUGCAGCCAGAAAACGUCAGGAGGAAGAAGAGGUAUAGUGUAUUUUUUGAAACAGUGAAAUAAGACUCCUUGAGCUAACUUUUGGAUCUCCAAAC
rnacentral:lncRNA from 1 species